AUGCAUUCAAAAUCGCAACAAAAUCACUGUCACGUAAUCAAUUUCCUCAUCGUAAUCACUUUGUUCCUCCUCUUCCGAAUCACUAUCUCCCUAAAAUCUCAUUUCAACAAAAACAACAUGAAUCAAUUUUUAAAACAGUAUACAAAAAAUAUCAUACCGGACUCCAAAAUCUCGAAUCCAUUGAUUAAUAAAUUUAUAGAUUUAUGCUUAAUGUUUCAAAUGAUUAAUGUACUCCUAACACAAUGA